AAGGAGAGGUUGAGGAGGCUGUGAGGAGGAAGGAAGAGGGACGAGGCAGUGCCUGCUGACACUGAGAUGGGUGGGCUUCAGGGCUCAUGUUCCGCCGAGGGCAUCAGGAGGCACUCGAGGUGUGAAUGGUUUGAUUAGGCUGAGGUGGAAUCUGAAGACAGAAAAUAAAGCGGAGCUGUCUGAGCUCUGGGAAUGAGGGGCAGAUCUCUGCUGAUAAGAAAAGCCUGGGGAGGUUCUGUGGGCAACUGGGUUCUCCACUGGGCAACCCCCCGGGAAAGAAGGAAUUUAUGUCCCAAGGGAACAAGAUGCUGCUGACCUUCCACACAGACUUCUCCAACGAGGAGAAUGGGACCAUCAUGUUCUACAAGGGCUUCCUGGCCUACUACCAAGCUGUGGACCUUGAUGAAUGUGCUUCCCGGAGCAAAUCAGGGGAGGAGGAUCCCCAGCCCCAGUGCCAGCACCUGUGUCACAACUACGUUGGAGGCUACUUCUGUUCCUGCCGUCCAGGCUAUGAGCUUCAGGAAGACAGGCAUUCCUGCCAGGCUGAGUGCAGCAGCGAGCUGUACACGGAGGCAUCAGGCUACAUCUCCAGCCUGGAGUACCCUCGGUCCUACCCCCCUGACCUGCGCUGCAACUACAGCAUCCGGGUGGAGCGGGGCCUCACCCUGCACCUCAAGUUCCUGGAGCCUUUUGAUAUUGAUGACCACCAGCAAGUACACUGCCCCUAUGACCAGCUACAGAUCUAUGCCAACGGGAAGAACAUUGGCGAGUUCUGUGGGAAGCAAAGGCCCCCCGACCUCGACACCAGCAGCAAUGCUGUGGAUCUGCUGUUCUUCACAGAUGAGUCGGGGGACAGCCGGGGCUGGAAGCUGCGCUACACCACCGAGAUCAUCAAGUGCCCCCAGCCCAAGACCCUAGACGAGUUCACCAUCAUCCAGAACCUGCAGCCUCAGUACCAGUUCCGUGACUACUUCAUUGCUACCUGCAAGCAAGGCUACCAGCUCAUAGAGGGGAACCAGGUGCUGCAUUCCUUCACAGCUGUCUGCCAGGAUGAUGGCACGUGGCAUCGUGCCAUGCCCAGAUGCAAGAUCAAGGACUGUGGGCAGCCCCGAAACCUGCCUAAUGGUGACUUCCGUUACACCACCACAAUGGGAGUGAACACCUACAAGGCCCGUAUCCAGUACUACUGCCAUGAGCCAUAUUACAAGAUGCAGACCAGAGCUGGCAGCAGGGAGUCUGAGCAAGGGGUGUACACCUGCACAGCACAGGGCAUUUGGAAGAAUGAACAGAAGGGAGAGAAGAUUCCUCGGUGCUUGCCAGUGUGUGGGAAGCCCGUGAACCCCGUGGAACAGAGGCAGCGCAUCAUCGGAGGGCAAAAAGCCAAGAUGGGCAACUUCCCCUGGCAGGUGUUCACCAACAUCCACGGGCGCGGGGGCGGGGCCCUGCUGGGCGACCGCUGGAUCCUCACAGCUGCCCACACCCUGUAUCCCAAGGAACACGAAGCGCAAAGCAACGCCUCUUUGGAUGUGUUCCUGGGCCACACAAAUGUGGAAGAGCUCAUGAAGCUAGGAAAUCACCCCAUCCGCAGGGUCAGCGUCCACCCGGACUACCGUCAGGAUGAGUCCUACAAUUUUGAGGGGGACAUCGCCCUGCUGGAGCUGGAAAAUAGUGUCACCCUGGGUCCCAACCUCCUCCCCAUCUGCCUCCCUGACAACGAUACCUUCUACGACCUGGGCUUGAUGGGCUAUGUCAGUGGCUUCGGGGUCAUGGAGGAGAAGAUUGCUCAUGACCUCAGGUUUGUCCGUCUGCCCGUAGCUAAUCCACAGGCCUGUGAGAACUGGCUCCGGGGAAAGAAUAGGAUGGAUGUGUUCUCUCAAAACA
rnacentral:misc_RNA from 1 species